UUUUAGAGAUAGAGGAGAAUCUUGAGUUCAGAAGUUUGAGACAGCCCUAAGCAACAAAGACAGACCCUAUCAUAAAUUAAUAAGUGGAGCAGUGGCAUAUACCUUUAACACAGGCCCUCAGGAGGUAGAGGCAGAGGCAGGUGGAUCCCUGUGCAUUGAGGCCAGCCUGGUCUAAACCUACAGAAGUUUCACAACAGUGGGGUAACCUGACAAUAGGAGAGCUGACCCCACUCCUAGCCAGCUGCAGUACUCAAGAGAGUGUGCCCUGCACAUUUCAGGAGUUGCAGCCACUCCCGCAAAACUGGUAAGAAAUUGUUAGCCAGACGUAGCGGUGCACACCUGUAACCACAGUGCUCAGGAGGAUGAAGCUGGAAGACUAACUACAGAGUUCAUAGGCUAGCGAGGACCCUCUCAAAGAAAAGAAAGAAAAAACCUUCAUUCAAAGCUAACAGGCAGAGGCCAGGGCAGGAAGCCUGAAGAAGGAUGUCACACUCCCCCAAGAAGCUGCCAGACAACAGGUGGCCCAGGCCCAGUUAUAGGGCCUGAACUGAAUCUGCAACUUCACUGACCUAGAGUUGCUGCACAUUUCCUGGUCAUGUGGAGGGGAAAGACUAGAACACACAACAUGGACUAUUAAAGACUAAACAGGGCUGAAGAGAUGCCUCAGCAGGUAUCAAGAACACACCAUUUGCUCUGCUGUUCCCCAAUAAGGCAUGGGCAGUCUCAGCUCUCAGCACCAACCUAACACCUACACAACAAAAAUCCUGUCACAGACACUAAAACUGAAAAUUAUAUACAGUAGGCCAAACAGCAGAUUCAACACAGCAGGAGAUGAGAGGAAGUAAGGAAAAUCCUGCACUGUGUGGUUAUUGCCAAUGAACUCUAGCAAGGCAGAAAACACCACCUUCACAGGAAAUCUUCCACAAAGCAUACCAAGAAACACUGUCCACCUUGUUCAUGAGAGCAAUACAACCUCAACACCAAAAUCUCCCAAGGGCACAAGAAGGUGAUGAAACAGGUUCCAAGACCAGGCUCCCAGGUUUGUGAAGCAAGCUCUUUAACCCACCAAGCCUCUCACUGGCCCAAGCAGAUUUCAUGAGCCAGACUAAAAAAAUCUUAAAAAACAAAGGUGAAGAAUUUAAAACGUCAGAUCUCAAGACAACUUCUGUUGUCAACAACUCAUCCAGUCAUUUGUGCAAAGAUGGCAAAGAUACCACCGGAGCAGAAGAGCUACCCAUCCACUUCAUCACUCUACCACUGUGACACACCCUAACUCUCAAGACUGGCAGAUCAGGGCACAUUACCUUGGGUUUUGUGGGGAUUUGUUGAAUUUUUUUUUUUUGAGACAGUUCAUUCUGUAGCCCUAACUAGCCUGGAACUUACUAUACAGACUAGGUUGGCCUCAAUCUCAAAGAGAUCCA